UUUCUUUAAGUGUGUUUAAGAAGCGUUUAUAUAUGGGGUUUUUUUUUCGUCAGGAUGAACGCUGGCGGCGUGCCUAAUACAUGCAAGUCGAACGCUUUGUGGUUCAACUGAUUUGAAGAGCUUGCUCAGAUAUGACGAUGGACAUUGCAAAGAGUGGCGAACGGGUGAGUAACACGUGGGAAACCUACCUCUUAGCAGGGGAUAACAUUUGGAAACAGAUGCUAAUACCGUAUAACAAUGACAACCGCAUGGUUGUUAUUUAAAAGAUGGUUCUGCUAUCACUAAGAGAUGGUCCCGCGGUGCAUUAGCUAGUUGGUAAGGUAAUGGCUUACCAAGGCGAUGAUGCAUAGCCGAGUUGAGAGACUGAUCGGCCACAAUGGGACUGAGACACGGCCCAUACUCCUACGGGAGGCAGCAGUAGGGAAUCUUCCACAAUGGGCGAAAGCCUGAUGGAGCAACGCCGCGUGUGUGAUGAAGGGUUUCGGCUCGUAAAACACUGUUGUAAGAGAAGAAUGACAUUGAGAGUAACUGUUCAAUGUGUGACGGUAUCUUACCAGAAAGGAACGGCUAAAUACGUGCCAGCAGCCGCGGUAAUACGUAUGUUCCAAGCGUUAUCCGGAUUUAUUGGGCGUAAAGCGAGCGCAGACGGUUAUUUAAGUCUGAAGUGAAAGCCCUCAGCUCAACUGAGGAAUUGCUUUGGAAACUGGAUGACUUGAGUGCAGUAGAGGAAAGUGGAACUCCAUGUGUAGCGGUGAAAUGCGUAGAUAUAUGGAAGAACACCAGUGGCGAAGGCGGCUUUCUGGACUGUAACUGACGUUGAGGCUCGAAAGUGUGGGUAGCAAACAGGAUUAGAUACCCUGGUAGUCCACACCGUAAACGAUGAGUGCUAGGUGUUUGAGGGUUUCCGCCCUUAAGUGCCGCAGCUAACGCAUUAAGCACUCCGCAUGGAGACGCCGACUUGG
rnacentral:rRNA from 1 species